rnacentral:rRNA from 1 species
AUUGAACGCUGGCGGAAUGCUUUACACAUGCAAGUCGAACGGCAGCACGGACUUCGGUCUGGUGGCGAGUGGCGAACGGGUGAGUAAUGUAUCGGAACGUGCCCAGUCGUGGGGGAUAACGUAGUGAAAAUUACGCUAAUACCGCAUACGAUCUAUGGAUGAAAGCGGGGGAUCGCAAGACCUCGCGCGAUUGGAGCGGCCGAUAUCAGAUUAGGUAGUUGGUGGGGUAAAGGCCCACCAAGCCAACGAUCUGUAGCUGGUCUGAGAGGACGACCAGCCACACUGGAACUGAGACACGGCCCAGACUCCUACGGGAGGCAGCAGUGGGGAAUUUUGGACAAUGGGGGCAACCCUGAUCCAGCAAUGCCGCGUGUGUGAAGAAGGCCUUCGGGUUGUAAAGCACUUUUGUCAGAGAAGAAAACUGUUGCGCUAAUAUCGCGACGGGAUGACGGUAUCUGAAGAAUAAGGACCGGCUAACUACGUGCCAGCAGCCGCCGUAA